GACGAACCGUGCGAACGUUGUUCGGAACUCACGUGGCUUAAAGGGCGCGUAGGCGGCCGGGUUGGUCGUGGGUGAAAUCCCCCCAGCUUAACUGGGGAAGGGCCUACGAUACUGCCUGGCUCGAGGGAGGAAGGGGCGGUCGGAACUGUCGGUGGAGCGGUGAAAUGCGUUGAUAUCGACAGGAACGCCGGUGGCGAAAGCGGACCGCUGGCCCUCUUCUGACGCUGAGGCGCGAAAGCCAGGGGAGCGAACGGG
rnacentral:rRNA from 1 species